UACGGGGGGAGCAAGCGUUGUUCGGAUUUACUGGGCGUAAAGGGCGCGUAGGCGGCGCAACAAGUCACUUGUGAAAUCUCCGGGCUUAACCCGGAGCGGUCAAGUGAUACUGUCGUGCUAGAGUGCGGAAGGGGCUACUGGAAUUCUCGGUGUAGCGGUGAAAUGCGUAGAUAUCACUAGGAACGCCGGUGGCGAAAGCGCUCGACUGGACCUCUUCUGACGGCUGAGGC
rnacentral:rRNA from 1 species